CCGUUGCCUCUGCCCACCCUCUUGACAUCACCGUCCUCGGCCUCCUCCGCCCGCUAACCGCUGACCCGAGUGCACCCGAUCCUUGGACCACAUCCACUCUCCUCGUCUCCGGCGUCACCUUCCUUGCUGCGGAGGCCGCCGUGCUUCUGCUCGUGUCUGUUGCUACUCCCAUCGCCUUUGAACCCGUUAAGCAGAUCCACCGCGUCCAGAGUAAUCAACUCCGUCUCCUCUUCGAUGCACAGAGCACGCGUUCCAAUUUGGUCUUACUCGUGCAUAAGUUUAUGGUGGUUGAUUUUGAUGGUGCUUUUCCUGACAGAUACGCCUUCCCGGUUUUGUUCUCUUUAUGUAGCAUGCUUGUUCAUGUGCGUACGGUCCGUGGGGAAUACAUCGAAGCAGGGCUUCUGUUUGAUGAAAUGCCCAUCAGAGACGUGGUCUCCUGGGUCGUACGGUCCGUGGGGAAUACAUCGAAGGACGUGGAGCAGGACGAUGUGACUCUGCAUAGGUCUCUCUUAAUCAGAAUUGAGUAACUCCAUAACAGUUGCAGUUCAAAGAAGACCAUCACAUCCAUCCGCUGACGGCUUGGUACCUUUCAAGCAAGAUAAGGUUUAUGAGUCCCCGUACGGAUUUUUAAUGAUUUUUUGUGUUAUUUCUUAAUACAAACACUCCAAAAGGUCAGUUUGCUUUUUGAUAUCUUUUUCUUUAUAGGACUCUGAUAAAUGGAGUUGACAUUAAUUUGUAUGUUUUGCCAAUGUCUCAGUGCUUCUGGAUUAAAUUUUCUUUUUCUUCCUUCUAGAUUAAGUUGAACAAUUACAGAUCAGAGCUCAGCUAAUUUCUCUUAAUUUUAGAACUAAUUCUAUUUUACAGAAGUAUUUGUAGAGGAAACAUUUGUGGCUUUCAAAUUUAAGGAACUUAAGUAUGAACAAAAUCAAAUGCAAGUAAAAGCUCAUUGAGGAUGUAUUUUAGGAGAUUGUAUUAUGAGAGCAUUUGUGAUUGUGACAGAAGAAAUGAAGGUUGUGAUUGAAGGGUUGAACUGACCAAUAAAUCGGUGCCAUUACCGAUCCUAACAGAACUAGGCCUUAUUCAAUUUUCUAACUACUGUGCUGGUCUCUCUACAUGACUUCAUGACAGGAAGGGCUGAAGUGACCUGGAAAUUGUUAAGGCCAGUAAAGAGGUGAUUAUUUUCUCCUGGUUGCAUGCAAUGAUGCUAAUAACUGAAUUACCAUCAAGCGAUCUGGGAUAUGUCAAUUGGUGUUUGGUAUCAUCAAGAUUCUUUCAGAUCCCCAAAAACAAUGUGCAGUUCCAAAUGAUGAUUCCUUGGAAGUUUAGGCAGGUGUUUUAUAUAUAUUUAUAUAUAUAUUUAUUUAUCUGAUAUACCUUCUUCCACCACAUCCAUUCUCCCUCUGGCAGUUGAAGAACAUUGCAGCUACAGGAUCCCCAAGGUUAAAAGCUGCUGCAAAAUCCCGCGUGUUGAAGUUCUGUCUCCAUCCAGGUGCAUACAUGGUUUGGCAGACAGAUUGCCGGAACAGAAUGAACACGAAGCGAUGGAUCCCAGCAGUUGGCCGUGGGCUCUCAUAGGAGACAAUCUCAUUGCCUAAAACACAAGGUGAUCUAUGUUUCCCAUUUUCCAUUCAAGGCCAAACAUUACCAACUGUCAAUCUAAUAGAAAGAGAAUUAUAUGUCAGCUUCCAAGGUUUAUGUACCAUCAGAGACAUCUGAGAUCUGUGGAAGUAAAGAAUGGCUUGAACAAGCUUUCGGUCAAACAUAUUCUCUGCAAUCAACAGCUAGUCAUGAUGUGCAAACCCUAGCUAUGAGAUGCUUGGGAUAUCCCAAGCUGAUAUGCUGAGAUAGCAUUUUAUUGGACUUGCUGUUAUAACUAUCAAAACCAGCAUCCACAGAAGGAUUAUAUUCCUUUGGCUUCUAUUUUAUUGUAGAAUCUGCACUGUAAUCAGAGGACAAGAUGCAAUCUUAGUAGGCAAUAAAUACAUAGGUGCUCUUAGGAUUGUUGACUAGAUGAUAUAUUCUCAAGGAACAUUACUACACCAAAAAGUAUACAAAAGCAGCCAGAUGUUGAUUCUCCAAACAGAGCAUAUCAAUACUAAAGCAAUGGAAGCCCAGACUAAAACCAAACUCUUGCUUGCUUACCGCAGAUCCUUGUUUGAAAAGAUUGAAAUAUUGGAGGCAACUGCAAUGUGGCUGAAACAAAUAUAUAUUCUUCCCAGAUAAAAGUUUCAGAGCUGCAACAGCUAAUUUAGUAUUCCAUCACAAGCUUGUCAGUGUAUGCAGCAGAUGAUAAUUGGAAUCAAGAGGCAACCUUAUGCCUUGUUUAUGUUGCAGUCACCUUGACGCUAACUUUCUUUUACCAUCGCUGGAGGAUGCUAUAACAAUUUUGUGCUCGAGGAAGCUCUACCAUUGAUUUGUAUCACAACUCAUCAGCAGGGCAUUUCUCAUGAACUUCUCGAUCAAACUAUUAGUAGAAGAGAUAUUUUAGUUGUUCUAUUUUGGAAGAAUAGCCCCAGAGCUAAAUGUAAGACUAAUAUAUCAGAAGAUUGCAGACAGGG